rnacentral:lncRNA from 1 species
GUGGCAUGAGUGUGAAGUGCUAAAUGAGGAAAUCAGCUGAUCAGAGGGAAAACUUGUACAGGAAGGACUGCAUAAGUAAGGGAAAGGAACAACUUCUAGCGUUCAACACGCUCUACGUACGAAAGGAAAGAAGAGGACAACACGAAUACCAUAUACAUGUAUACAGCUACUGAUCUGGACGAGAAGCUCGAAGUACCCAAGAAGUACGAAGUGUCCAUACUUUUUACCUUUGUAAUCAGCUGAGGAAAUAUAACAACGAAUACUUCUCGGUUGUUCAUGCUUGGUACUGAGUGCUCAAUCCCGAGUAAAUAACACAAGAUUUCGAUUUUAUUGCUCAGUUUUACGUAUUAAACAAGACUUUGAGAUUUAUUUGAGAAAAUAAAAGAUGAAAAUCUCCAGUUGCGGCCAUCUUUGUAAAUAUUUUUCCGGAACUUUGCUCGAAAACUCGAUCAAAAAAUUAAAAAUCCUCCAAUCAUUGCCAGUUAAUUAGUGAUCUUAAGAUUCUUAAAGGUUUCAGGUGGAACAUGUAGCUUUUUUACUCAGGUGUUACCGAUAAAGAUUUAUUAAUCCAUUUUUUUGCCCGGGCUAGAUGACAAAAUAAGGUUGGGCUCGAUGAAAAAUAUUACUUUCUCCGUGCACACGGAAUAACACGGUUUAGGGAGGGGGGAGCCUACUCAUCAGGUCUCUGAGUUUUCACGUUCUGGAUUUCGAGUAGCCUCAUCCAAUCUAAUAACUAAACGAUUACGGUCUGGAUGCCAGGCAGAAACACAUCUGCGAAUGCUUCAUUAACUGGUACAUUAACUGAUGAGGGGUAGGAUCGUUACUGCCAGUGCAGGGGAUUGGACCCAGAUAGCGUAGAACAUCGUCACCACAGCGAUACCUGUGUCACCGUUUCCCGUCUCUGACCCUUUCUGCUCUGCUUGGUCACGGUUGUUAACGAUAUCUCAGUGCGAUAAACUUGGGACUAAAUUGUGCUUUUCUGUCGCUCAAGCGAAGGUGAAGAGUGGAAGGAAAUUAUUAAAGAGUAUUUGCACAGGGACUAUCGAAACGUAUGAGCGCCACUUGCAAAACAUUUUUUUUCUAGUUACUGUCUCGCUAC